rnacentral:rRNA from 1 species
GUGACAGCGGAGGGAUCAUUACCGAGUUUACAACUCCCAAACCCCUGUGAACAUACCAUUCUGUUGCCUCGGCGGAUCACCGCGCCCCGUAAAACGGGACGGCCCGCCAGAGGACCCAAACUCUAUGUCUUUAUGUGUAUCUUCUGAGUAACACUAUAAAUAAAUCAAAACUUUCAACAACGGAUCUCUUGGUUCUGGCAUCGAUGAAGAACGCAGCGAAAUGCGAUAAGUAAUGUGAAUUGCAGAAUUCAGUGAAUCAUCGAAUCUUUGAACGCACAUUGCGCCCGCCAGUAUUCUGGCGGGCAUGCCUGUUCGAGCGUCAUUUCAACCCUCAAGCCCCCGGGUUUGGUGUUGGGGAUCGGCACAACGGCCUCGCCAGAGGACGCGCCGGCCCCUAAAUCUAGUGGCGGUCUCGCUGCAGCCUCCAUUGCGUAGUAGCUAACACCUCGCAACUGGAACGCGGCGCGGCCAAGCCGUUAAACCCCCAACUUUUCUGAAUGUUGACCUCGGAUCAGGUAGGAAUACCCGCUGAACUUAAGCAUAUCAAUAAGCGGAGGAAAAGAAACCAACAGGGAUUGCCCUAGUAACGGCGAGUGAAGCGGCAACAGCUCAAAUUUGAAAUCUGGCUCUCGGGCCCGAGUUGUAAUUUGUAGAGGAUGCUUUUGGUGCGGUGCCUUCCGAGUUCCCUGGAACGGGACGCCAUAGAGGGUGAGAGCCCCGUCUGGUUGGAUGCCAAACCUCUGUAAAGCUCCUUCGACGAGUCGAGUAGUUUGGGAAUGCUGCUCUAAAUGGGAGGUAUAUGUCUUCUAAAGCUAAAUACCGGCCAGAGACCGAUAGCGCACAAGUAGAGUGAUCGAAAGAUGAAAAGCACUUUGAAAAGAGAGUUAAAAAGUACGUGAAAUUGUUGAAAGGGAAGCGCUCAUGACCAGACUUGGGCUCGGUUGAUCAUCCAGGGUUCUCCCUGGUGCACUCUUCCAGUCCAGGCCAGCAUCAGUUUGCCUUGGGGGAUAAAGGCUUCGGGAAUGUGGCUCCUCCGGGAGUGUUAUAGCCCGUUGCGUAAUACCCUGGGGCGGACUGAGGUUCGCGCAUC